rnacentral:rRNA from 1 species
UACCAGCACCCCGAGUGGUCGGGACGAUUAUUGGGCCUAAAGCAUCCGUAGCCGGUUCUGCAAGUCCCCCGUUAAAUCCAGCUGCUCAACAGAUGGGCCGCGGAGGAUACUACAGAGCUAGGAGGCAGGAGAGGCAAGCGGUACUCAGUGGGUAGGGGUAAAAUCCGUUGAUCCAUUGAAGGCCACCAGUGGCGAAGGCGGCUUGCCAGAAUGCGCUCGACGGUGAGGGAUGAAAGCUGGGGGAGCAAACCGG